UUAAACGCUGGCGGCAGGCCUAACACAUGCGAGUCGAGCGCGAAAGUUCUUCGGAAUGAGUAAAGCGACGGACGGGUGAGUAACGCGUGGGAAUCUGCCUAGUAGUGGGGGACAACAGCCGGAUACGGCUGCUAAUACCGCAUACGCCCUACGGGGGAAAGGGGGGGAUCUUCGGACCUCUCGCUAUUAGAUGAGCCCGCGUCGGAUUAGCUAGUUGGUAGGGUAAAGGCCUACCAAGGCUACGAUCCGUAACUGGUCUGAGAGGAUGAUCAGUCACACUGGAACUGGGACACGGUCCAGACUCCUACGGGAGGCAGCAGUGGGGAAUAUUGGACAAUGGGGGCAACCCUGAUCCAGCCAUGCCGCGUGUGUGAAGAAGGCCUUAGGGUUGUAAAGCACUUUCAGUGGGGAGAAAGGUUUGUCACCUAAUACGUGAUGAAAUUGAUGUUACCCACAGAAGAAGCACCGGCUAACUCCGUGCCAGCCGCCGCGGUAA
rnacentral:rRNA from 1 species